rnacentral:misc_RNA from 1 species
UGUGAGAUUGAGACUUAAUCUCAUUGGCGUUGUGGUCGGUUUCUCCUACAGCAAGUGCAUCUUGGUCUUGCGGGUCCAUGGCUUGAAGAUUUAAAGGAUGAUUACUGGAAUGGUAAAGCAGAGAGCUUGGACGAAGAAGGAGAAGAAGAAAAAGAAAGACGGUUUGGCAGAGAGAAGCAGAAAAAAUUGACGAAAAUGGGAGGUGGGUAUCAACACAAACACGAAAUUAUUAUAUAUAUACAAUAUGCAUAGGCAUACAUGAAUUAUUAACAUUUUAUACUUCAG